rnacentral:lncRNA from 1 species
UAUCAACUACAAAAUCAAAUGGCCAAAACUCACAUCUAGAGUAAAAUACAAAACAAAAGGAUACAUCGUGGACUGAUCAAUAUUUGACAUGAUAACCUAAUUAGCAGAUAGUACAAAUACGAGUCCUAUGUAUCAACUGUGACGCCCCUAAAAUAGGUAUACAUCACUCAUCUUGAGUCGUCAGAUACAUGGUACAAAAUUCAAAUACAAACUAAUAAUACAGCAGUCGUG